rnacentral:rRNA from 1 species
AUGAACGCUGGCGGCGUGCCUAACACAUGCAAGUCGAACGGAGAUUAGACGCUGACGAGACUUCGGUCAAAUCUGUUUAAUCUUAGUGGCGGACGGGUGAGUAACGCGUGGGCAACCUGCCUCAUACUGGGGGAUAGCAGUUGGAAACGACUGAUAAUACCGCAUAAGCGCACAAGGUCGCAUGACCUGGUGUGAAAAACUCCGGUGGUAUGAGAUGGGCCCGCGUCAGAUUAGCUAGUUGGUAAGGUAACGGCUUACCAAGGCGACGAUCUGUAGCCGGACUGAGAGGUCGGACGGCCACAUUGGGACUGAGACACGGCCCAAACUCCUACGGGAGGCAGCAGUGGGGGAUAUUGCACAAUGGAGGGAACUCUGAUGCAGCGACGCCGCGUGAGUGAAGAAGUAUUUCGGUAUGUAAAGCUCUAUCAGCAGGGAAGAAAGGCCCGCAAGGGAGAUGACGGUACCUGACUAAGAAGCCCCGGCUAACUACGUGCCAGCCGCUGC